CGCUCCAAAGGAAAAGAAAAAGAAAGAAAAAGGGUUAACUCUUCAAUACCACAAAUCAAACUCAAAUGCUUGGAAUGAGCACACGACUCCAAAAGAUUUCUUAUCCAACUGUACCAAUAAUCACGAAACUUCAAAGGAUCUAAAUACAAUUCAACAAAUUCCAACUCUUGCAAAGCUUCUAUGCCCUCAAAAAAAGUGAAGCCGCCCUUAUACUCCAAUGAUUUUAACUUGGGCGAAUUUAUUCUUACCUCCCUUGUUACAAAACAAUCAUAUAGCACCAAAUUAGUCAAAUUAUGUUGAGAAACAUGAAGGUAUUCCAUCAUACUGCAACCAUCUAUGAUGAGUUUCUCAAGCAAAGGGAAUCUGUCUAUAAAAUUUAUCCAUGUGGUAUCUUCAUCAUUAACAUUACACAAUGUCAAAUUCCGUACUGUUGGCGUGGAACUCAACUUCACAUAUGCUAAUUGCAACCAUCUAUGACGAGUUUCUCUAGUAGAGGAAACUUGUUCAGAAAAUGCAUCAUUGUUUCUUCGUCAUUAGCAUCUCGC
rnacentral:lncRNA from 1 species